rnacentral:tRNA from 1 species
GGGGCUAUAGCUCAGUGGUAGAGCGCUUGCCUAGCAUGCACUGGGUUCAAUCCUCAGCAUCA